GAAAUGCGAUAAGUAAUGUGAAUUGCAGAAUUCAGUGAAUCAUCGAAUCUUUGAACGCACCUUGCGCUCCUUGGUAUUCCUUGGAGCAUGCCUGUUUGAGUAUCAUGAAAUCUUCAAAGUAAAUCUUUUGUUAACUCAAUUGGUUUCUACUUUGGUAUUGGAGGUGUUUGCAGCUUCACACCUGCUCCUCUUUGUUCAUUAGCUGGAUCUCAGUGUUAUGCUUGGUUCCACUCGGCGUGAUAAGUUAUCUAUCGCUGAGGACACUGUAAAAGGUGGCCAAGGUAAAUGCAGAUGAACCGCUUCUAAUAGUCCAUUGACUUGGACAAUACUUUUAUGAUCUGAUCUCAAAUCAGGUAGGACUACCCGCUGAACUUAAGC
rnacentral:misc_RNA from 1 species